UGCAAAGUAGACUAAGGUUAGGUCGCUGGGCUCAUGAUCCAUCUAAGGGGGUUCGAUUCUCUCCUUUGAAC
rnacentral:tRNA from 1 species